UUCUCGAGCUGACCGAACGACCACGUCUCCUCCCCCUUCCCUUAUCCAUUCGGCCACACACACAGGCCACUCACACCCCAGUAGCAAGGCGGAGGGAGCGGCGACUCCGGUGAUUCCCAACGAGCACUGCAGGGAUAGAGCAUCGAUUCCCAGCGUGCACAGCAAGGGAGAGGGACGACUCAGGUGGUUCCGGUGGACGACGGAGGCGGAGGCCCAGCAACGAGCUUCCUGGGACAGCGCCAUGGAUGCAUCGAUUGGGCGACACGAUGGUCUCCUCCUCCGCGGCGUCCUCUCGUCGGCGAAGACGGACUCGCCCUCCACGGGCCCUCGCCGCAGUGUGAGGAGUGGCUGGUGGAGGUCCUGCUCGUGGAGGGGAGCGACGACGAGUCCCCAUGAAUUUGCAGAGGGAGGGGGUGGUGCCAUCUUCAGGUGAGGCGGGGCGUGCCUAUGGCGCCGCCCACGAGCCGGAGGCCCUCCUCAAUUUACGCAUGCUCGCUUGCUCUUCCACGCCGCCGACGAGAAGGCCAUCUUCCUCUUCCGAGACGACGACGGGGACCGAUGAGGCGCAAGGCGGAGGCGGUCGUGGCACCACUGGUCGGUGACUACGGGGCCGUGCUCCGCCUGCUCCGUGCUCACGCAGACAAUAGACGCCAUGGAGCUGAAUUCAAGUUUCAACCCCACAGUACCUUGCCCCGACGAGGAGCGCCGCCCCUAUGAGGCUAUCGCCCGGUUCGAGUGUGAGUGUGACGGCCUCGACCGCCUCCGGGCCUCCCCUCCCCCGCGUUGGAUUCUGAUUUCCUUGUCAGUUUGACGAUGCUUGCGAUUUGCAAGGGCAUCGGAGCUCUGCAGGUUCCUCGACAAAGGCAAAUCAGGUGACCGUUGUUUCUUUGUUCUGAAAAAAUGUAGCUCAAUUCACAUACGUGGGAUGAUCGGUUCGGUUCAGUUAGUUGUACAAUCUAUUUUUUGAUGAGCUCGAUGCACUUUGUGUUUUAAGGAUUUUAUUUGAGAUAGUGCAGUCAUAUUAGCUUCUGCACCUGGAGUGUCCAUGGAGCAUUGAGUGAGAAAAUUCCAUUUUUUCUUUAGUUUUGUUCUUGAUUGGACUGUGAAUCAGGUCAGUAAUUGUGGUUU